rnacentral:rRNA from 1 species
GUGGGGAAUAUUGGACAAUGGGCGCAAGCCUGAUCCAGCCAUGCCGCGUGAGUGAUGAAGGCCUUAGGGUUGUAAAGCUCUUUCACCGAUGAAGAUAAUGACGGUAGUCGGAGAAGAAGCCCCGGCUAACUUCGUGCCAGCAGCCGCGGUAAUACGAAGGGGGCUAGCGUUGUUCGGAUUUACUGGGCGUAAAGCGCACGUAGGCGGAUCGUUAAGUCGAGGGUGAAAUCCUGGAGCUCAACUCCAGAACUGCCUUCGAUACUGGCGAUCUUGAGUCCGGAAGAGGUGAGUGGAACUCCUAGUGUAGAGGUGGAAUUCGUAGAUAUUAGGAAGAACACCAGUGGCGAAGGCGGCUCACUGGUCCGGUACUGACGCUGAGGUGCGAAAGCGUGGGGAGCAAACAGGAUUAGAAACCCGUGUAGUCC